rnacentral:rRNA from 1 species
GAUGAACGCUGGCGGCGUGCUUAACACAUGCAAGUCGAACGGAAAGGCUCCUGCUUGCAGGGGUACUCGAGUGGCGAACGGGUGAGUAACACGUGGGUGAUCUGCCCUGCACUUCGGGAUAAGCCUGGGGAACUGGGUCUAAUACCGGAGAGGACGAUGGUGGGGAUGCCAUUGUGGAAAGUUUUUUCGGUGUGGGAUGAGCUCGCGGCCUAUCAGCUUGUUGGUGGGGUAAUGGCCUACCAAGGCGUCGACGGGUAGCCGGCCUGAGAGGGUGUACGGCCACCUGGGGACUGCGACACGGCCCAGUCUCCUACGGGCGGCAGCGUUGGGGAAUCUUGCACAAUGGCGGCAAGCCUGCUGCACCGAGCCCGGGUGCGGGAUGACGGCCUUCUGGUUGUAAACUCCUUUCGCUCGGGAUGAAGCGCGAGUGACGGUACCUGGCGAAUAAGCCUCGGCUAACUACGUG